AACAGAAGAAGAAGAAGCGGAUGCGGAAGUGGUAGCCAUGGACUCGAUGAUGUCCACGUCCGCGGCUCUGUCGUACCACAAUGUCGGGGACUUUUACCCCAGAAAGUUGGGGCCAAAACCGGACGUGGUGCCGUCCGGGGUGACCGAGAGGAAGGUCGGCCCGCUGGACAAGCUUGACAUGGUGUCGGUGGACGUCAUCAACGUCAACGAAGCCGACUUGCCCGUGCACAGGAAGAAGCAGGACACGUACGUCUUGGGCACCAUUCAUCCCUUCAGGAAGACGCACAGGUCACUUCCUGGAAAACUCCUGCAAGAAUUCCGAUUGGUCGCGUCAGAUAGACGGUCAUGGAGGAUCCUGCUUUUUGGCUCCCUCAACCUGCUGUGCACCGCCUGUCUGCUCAUGUGGUGCAGCUCCACCAACAGCAUGGCGCUGACGGCCUACACCUACCUGACCAUCUUUGACCUCUUCAGUUUGAUCACAUGUCUGAUCAGUUCCUGGGUGGCCAUGAAGAAGCCCAGCCAGGUCUUCUCCUUCGGGUUUGACAGACUGGAGGUUCUGGCCGUUUUUGCCUCCACUGUUCUGGUCCAGCUGGGAGCCUUGUUCAUCCUGAAGGAGAGUGUGGAGCGCUUCGUGGAGCAGCCUGAGGUCCAUACCGGUCGCCUGCUGGUCGGCACGUUUGUGGCGCUCUUCUUCAACCUGCUCACUCUCAUGUCCGUGCACAACAAACCCUUUGCCUGCGUAUCCCAAGCGGCCAGCAGCAGUUGGCUUCAGGAACACGUGGCAGAUAUGAGCAGAAGUGUGUGUGGCAUCAUUCCAGGUCUGAGCAGUGUGCUGCUGCCUCGCAUGAACCCCUUUGUCCUGAUCAACCUGGCGGGGGCGCUGUCGCUGUGCGUCACCUACAUGCUCAUCGAGAUGAAUAACUACAACGCCGUGGACACGGCCUCAGCGGUUGCCAUCGCUCUCAUGACCUUUGGCACCAUGUAUCCCAUGAGCGUCUACAGCGGCAAGGUGCUGCUGCAGGUAGCGCCUAUUUACUCUCUCUCUCGCUCACUCACCUGCCUGUUUAGCUAUGUGUUUAAAAGACACGAUCCAUAUUGGCUGUCUUACUGAUACCGAUGUUGUCAGGCACUUCAAGAAGCAACCGCACAAAUGGAACAAUCGUCAGUCAAGAGUAAAGUCCAAAUAUUAAGAGAAGGAAGUUGUCAUCUAAUGAGAAAAAGUCACAAUUUACGUUAAAAUAACCUCAUUUUAACAGCAUAAAGUCAAAAUAUUAAAGGACCACACGUUCUAACAUCAUAAUAUUAUGAAAAACAAACAAAACAAUGAAUAAAGUUGUCAUUUUUGGGAAAUGAGGUUGCUGAAAAAGUUAUAAUUUUACAAGAAUAAAGUGGGAAAAAAAUAUUAUGGGAAUAAAGUUGAAAUAGUUGGAAAAAUUACCAGAAAAUAACAACAGCAGAAAUGACAGAAAGAGCUGUCAUUUUACAAAAAAAAGACAAAAUAUUAGGAGAAGAAACAAGUGGCAAUUUUACCAGAAUAAAGCUGGAAUGUUUAAUGUCAGUUUAGUAGCGCAGAGUUGAAAUAUUCCAAGAAAAAUAUGGAGUUAUUUAACACAAAACCAAAUUUGCUGUUCCAAAAAAGUUGGAAUUUUUGCAAAAGUAGGUUGGGGGGGGGGGGGGGAGUCACAGUACUGUGGGAAUAAAGUCCAAGUAUUAAGAGAGAAAAGGCGUGGCAGUUCUACGGGAACAAGCUCGUAAUAUUAGGAGGAGAAAUGAUGUCAUUUUAGCAGCGUAGGGUUGAAGUAUAUUCAAGAAUAACACAUUUAUUUUCAAACAAACAAAACCAAAUCAAGUUGUAAUUUUUGGAAAAUUAGGUUGAGGAAAAAGUUAUAAUAUUAUGGGAAUAGAAUCAAAAUAUUGUGAAAAGAAAAUCUGCAAAAGUCCUUUAAGAACAAACAUAUUUGGAGGGGAAAUUUGGGUGGGGAAAAAAACAAAAAAACAGCAAAAAUGGGGCAAAAAGAGUGCAGUUGAUGUCAAUAAUAGGCUUUUUCAACAAUAGGACAAAGCUGAGAUGCAGUAUAACUUGUUAGCAUGUCUACUGUUCAUGUGUUGCUUUACAAAAUAUCAAAGUUUCAUUUUUCACUAUGUGGCCCUCGCUGGUGAAACCUGCUCUAUUACUUCCUACAUAUUUACCCAAUUACUCACUGUAUUACUUAGUUACUUAUUUACCUGCCUAAUUAUCUGUGGACACAUUUAUUUACAUGCCGAGUUACUUAUUUCAUUUUUACACCUGCAUUCUGAUCCAAUGACUUUAUUACGCACAUCAUGUGACUGCAGACCACGCCCUCUCACGUCAUUGGCCAGCUGGACAAGUUGCUUCGAGAGGUGUCCACGCUGGACGGCGUGCUGGAAGUUCGCAACGAGCACUUCUGGACGCUGGGCUUUGGGUCACUGGCCGGCUCCGCCCACGUUCGCAUCCGGCGCG